AAACGACGUCGUUUUAAGAUACGCGAAGCGCACAGUGCUAUGUGCACCGUAGUGCAAGGUAUAACGAAUGAUAAGACAAAUACACAUCUGCUCAGGUCCAGACAC